AGAGUUUGAUCCUGGCUCAGGACGAACGCUGGCGGCGUGCUUAACACAUGCAAGUCGAACGAGAAUCUACUGAAGGAGGAUUCGUCCAACGGAAGUAGAGGAAAGUGGCGGACGGGUGAGUAACGCGUGAGGAACCUGCCUUGAAGAGGGGGACAACAGUUGGAAACGACUGCUAAUACCGCAUGACGCAUAGGGGUCGCAUGAUCUUUAUGCCAAAGAUUUAUCGCUUCAAGAUGGCCUCGCGUCUGAUUAGCUAGUUGGCGGGGUAACGGCCCACCAAGGCGACGAUCAGUAGCCGGACUGAGAGGUUGAACGGCCACAUUGGGACUGAGAUACGGCCCAGACUCCUACGGGAGGCAGCAGUGGGGAAUAUUGGGCAAUGGGCGCAAGCCUGACCCAGCAACGCCGCGUGAAGGAAGAAGGCUUUCGGGUUGUAAACUUCUUUUAAGAGGGAAGAGCAGAAGACGGUACCUCUAGAAUAAGCCACGGCUAACUACGUGCCAGCAGCCGCGGUAAUACGUAGGUGGCAAGCGUUGUCCGGAUUUACUGGGUGUAAAGGGCGUGCAGCCGGGUCUGCAAGUCAGAUGUGAAAUCCAUGGGCUCAACCCAUGAACUGCAUUUGAAACUGUAGAUCUUGAGUGUCGGAGGGGCAAUCGGAAUUCCUAGUGUAGCGGUGAAAUGCGUAGAUAUUAGGAGGAACACCAGUGGCGAAGGCGGAUUGCUGGACGAUAACUGACGGUGAGGCGCGAAAGUGUGGGGAGCAAACAGGAUUAGAUACCCUGGUAGUCCACACUGUAAACGAUGAAUACUAGGUGUGCGGGGACUGACCCCCUGCGUGCCGCAGUAAACACAAUAAGUAUUCCACCUGGGGAGUACGAUCGCAAGGUUGAAACUCAAAGGA
rnacentral:rRNA from 1 species